rnacentral:rRNA from 1 species
ACGGAAGGCAGCAGUGAGGAAUAUUGGUCAAUGGGCGGAAGCCUGAACCAGCCAAGUAGCGUGAGGGAUGACUGCCCUAUGGGUUGUAAACCUCUUUUGUUCGGGAAUAAAGUCACCUACGUGUAGGUGUUUGCAUGUACCGUUCGAAUAAGCAUCGGCUAAUUCCGUGCCAGCAGCCGCGGUAAUACGGAAGAUGCGAGCGUUAUCCGGAUUUAUUGGGUUUAAAGGGAGCGUAGGCGGCUGGUUAAGUCAGCGGUCAAAUGUCAGGGCCCAACCUUGGCAUGCCGUUGAUACUGUCCGGCUUGAAUGUGCACAAGGAAGGUGGAAUUCGUCGUGUAGCGGUGAAAUGCUUAGAUAUGACGAAGAACUCCGAUUGCGAAGGCAGCCUUCUGGGGCAUGAUUGACGCUGAGGCUCGAAAGUGCGGGAAUCAAACAGGAUUAGAUACCCUGGUA